rnacentral:rRNA from 1 species
CCUACGGGAGGCAGCAGUAGGGAAUAUUGCUCAAUGGGGGAAACCCUGAAGCAGCAACGCCGCGUGGAGGAUGAAGGUUUUCGGAGUGUAAACUCCUUUUGUUAGAGAAGAUAAUGACGGUAUCUAACGAAUAAGCACCGGCUAACUCCGUGCCAGCAGCCGCGGGAAUACGGAGGGUGCAAGCGUUACUCGGAACUACUGGGCGUAAAGAGCGCGUAGGCGGGAUAGCAAGUCAGAUGUGAAAUCCUAUGGCUUAACCAUAGAACUGCAUGUGAAACUGUUAUUCUAGAGUAUGGGAGAGGUAGGUGGAAUGCUUGGUGUAGCGGUAAAAUCCGUAGAGAUCAAGAAGAAUACUCAUUGCGAAGGCGACCUGCUAGAACAUAACUGACGCUGAUGCGCGAAAGCGUGGGGAGCAAACAGGAUUAGAUACCCUAGUAGUC